rnacentral:rRNA from 1 species
AAGUUUGAUGGCGACCGGCGCACGGGUGAGUAACACGUAUCCAACCUGCCGAUGACUCGGGGAUAGCCUUUCGAAAGAAAGAUUAAUACCCGAUGGCAUAGUUCUUCCGCAUGGUAGAACUAUUAAAGGAUUUCGGUCAUCGAUGGGGAUGCGUUCCAUUAGGUUGUUGGCGGGGUAACGGGCCCACCAAGCCUUCGAUGGAUAGGGGUUCUGAGAGGAAGGUCCCCCACAUUGGAACUGAGACACGGUCCAAACUCCUACGGGAGGCAGCAUG